GCACCACAAGAACGCGUGGAGCAUGUGGCUUAAUUUGACUCAACGCGGGAAAUCUUACCGGGUCCGGACACACUGAGGAUUGACAGGCAAUAUAUGUGACUCUUCGGAGUUUGCAUUGUUAAAUAUGCUAGUCCUUUCAUGAUUAUGUGAUAGGUGGUGCAUGGCCGUUCUUAGUUCGUGGAGUGAUCUGUCUGCUUAAUUGCGUUUCAAAUUACUUAUAAGGUAGCAAUACGCGAUGAAACUUUCAAUAGUCUCUCACGAGAUUCACUUGAGUCUCUCGCUUCGCUAUCCUUUC
rnacentral:rRNA from 1 species